ensembl:ncRNA asRNA:CR44179 antisense RNA:CR44179
CAAGCAGUUAAAAAAGAUAGCCAAUUUAUUUAUAUCCUGUAAUAAAAGUAAUAAAUAAAAGCGACAGUCUUCAGCGUUACCCACACCCUAUGUUCUCUAACAAUAAGUUGAUCGAUCAUACAUCAUAAACCAUCUAGUUCUUCAGCGGAAAUGGAGGCACCCAGCCGCCAAAAGUGCGCUCCAGUUCCUCGGCAACCGCCAGGCAAAGGCGAUCGUUGUUCGGAUUGGCCACCACUUGGAUGCCCAGCGGCAUGCCCUUGGAGUCCAGACCCAUGGGCACCUGGGUGGCCGGCAAGUGGAGCACAUUGAAGAGGCUGAAGUACGCGAAGUCAUUGAACUUGACCAGAGGAUAGUAGUGGAAUGGUGCAGUCCUGGGAGAACUGUGAAAGAACAGCACACCAUCGUCGCCGAGCAAGUCCUGGACGGACUUCUUGCACUUGGCCGUGGCUUCCCUCAUCAGCUUCUCCUUUUCCUUGGGCAGCACACUGUCGAUCAGACCAUAAAUGGCCGCCAUGCUGUAGUCACUUUGCCCCAGUAUCUUCUUGAAGAGCUCCACAAAUGGAUUGAGCUCGGCGCCAUUGCCCAACAGCAGAUUGAAGUUGGCCGGUUCCUGGGUCAUCCAAUAGCGCCACAUCUUUCCGGUCAGCUUGGUAUAGGGCAAGUCAGCGUGCCGCACGUCCUUUCCACUCACUGCCUCGAAAUGUUUGCGAAUCUUGUACAUAACCCGUUCGGUUUCCCGGUUAAUAGGAUUGCACUGAGCCAUGCCAUUGGAGGACACAUAGAAGUAACGCAGCCGCUUCAGAUCCACCUUCUGAUCCAGUUUUAGCUUGGCUUUCAACGAUGGCUCCACCAGAACCUGCAUCAUGGGCAGUAGAUCCCGCGCAGAACGACUCAUUGGACCGGCACAUACCAUCGUAUCCUUUUCCUUGCCCGUUCUGAACGUACAUCCGGCCAUAUUGACCGCACCGGAAGUGGGUUUGUGCCCGAAGAUGCCGCAAUUGAAGGCCGGUAUGCGUAUGGAACCACCAAUGUCUGUUCCCAAACCAAAACCCGUGCAGCAGGCAGCGAUCAGAGCGGCUUCACCACCCGAAGAACCGCCGACGGAACGCCGCAGAUCGUAGGGAUUGUUGGUGCAGCCGAUUAGCAUGUUCCUCGACUCAAUCCACUUGUUCACCUCCGGCACAUUGCUGGUGGCGAUGAUAAUGGCGCCACUUUCCUUCAUCAGGCGCACGCAUUCCGCAUCCGUGGUCGAACGUUCCGAUUUCCUUGCUAGCAGGCCCAGUGUGUGUAGCCUCCCAGCCACAGCGGUGCUAUCCUUGGUGGAGAAGGGUACGCCUAGGAAGGGCAGGCGCCGCAGAUCCUCAUCGCUGUACUCCUUUUCGUCCAACUUGCGAUCGAUUUCGCGUGCCUGGUCCAAGGCCUCCGGAAACGGGCCAUCGACCACCGCAUUGAGAUCCCGAUUAACGCUCUCGAUUCGCUCACAGUAGGCCUUGACUAUGUCGUAACUGCGCUGCCUGCGUUCCCGUAUCUGUUGCGCCAACUCCACAGCGCUCUUCGUAAUCGUCGUCUGCUGUUCCAGGCUCGGUGGACCCGAUACCCGCUUGUGCUCGCCCAAAUACCAGUCCAGUACGAACUCCAGCAGGCGAUCGCUCAGGAUGUGGACCAGUGCCAGCAGGGCAUCAAGUACGUGGCUCCAAAAUGACAUGAUGACGCCGCUUCCAAUUUCUGAUGAGAUUUGCACUUUGCGCAAUGCAUAUGCAAACUGAAACCGAGCCAAAGACCACUGAGGUUGCGAUAAACCCAAGACGUUGCCACCCGAUAUGGAAGAAGAAGCUGGCGAGGAGAGCUUUGCCUCAAACCAGUUUCAGUAGCAGGUACAGUGGCCAACGGGUAAAAUGGAUUUUUUAUCUAGUUUACGAAAUGGGGGUGUGGAAACAUCUGAAAUAUUUGUUUUCUUAAGCUUGUUUAUGUUGAAAAU